UCUGCAGGAUAUUUCGAACAAGAUCUUUGUUCGAAUAUACUUUCCCAAGAGCAUGGAGAUCGUUGAUUAUCAUCGAGAAUCGAUCAAACAUAUCAUCGAUGCUUUCAGGCUCCUUCAUUCUAAUGAGUUCAUAUUCAUGUGUUGGAAAAUCAACUCUAGCUUCUCGGGCUUGAGGCGUACCUUCAUAAGUGAUUUCAAGCUU
rnacentral:lncRNA from 1 species